rnacentral:rRNA from 1 species
UCGAGAAUAUUCGACAAUGGGCGAAAGCCUGAUCGAGCGACGCCGCGUGCAGGAUGAAGGUCUUAGGAUUGUAAACUGCUUUUCUACUCCAUAAAGCGCAAGCUGAUAGUAGAGUAGGAAUAAGUGGCUGCAAACUUCGUGCCAGCAGCCGCGGUAAUACGAAGGCCACAAGCGUUAUCCGGAUUUAUUGGGCGUAAAGCGUGUGUAGGAGGUCUGAUACGUUUAUUGUUAAAUCUUAUCGCUCAACGAUGAGGCUGCAAUAAAUACGGUUAGACUAGAGUGUGCGAGAGGUUAAUAGAACUUACGGUGUAGGGGUGAAAUCCGUUGAUAUCGUAGGGAAUACCAAAGGCGAAGGCAUUUAACUGGCGCAUUACUGACUCUAAGACACGAAAGCGUGGGGAGCAAAAAGG